GACGAACGCUGGCGGCGUGCUUAACACAUGCAAGUCGAACGGAAAGGCCCCUUUGGGGGUCCUCGAGUGGCGCACGGGUGCGUAACACGUGAGUAACCUGCCCUUGACUUCGGGAUAACUUCAGGAAACUGGGGCUAAUACCGGAUAGGAAUCCUUGCUGCAUGGUGGGGGUUGGAAAGCUUCGGCGGUUUUGGAUGGACUCGCGGCUUAUCAGCUUGUUGGUGGGGUAGUGGCUUACCAAGGCUUUGACGGGUAGCCGGCCUGAGAGGGCGACCGGCCACAUUGGGACUGAGAGACGGCCCAGACGCCGACGGGAGGCAGCAGUGGGGAAGAUUGCACAAGGGGCGGAAGCCGGAUGCAGCAACGCCGCGGGCGGGAUGACGGCCUUCGGGUUGUAAACCGCGUUCAGCAGGGGCGAAGCUUGUGGUGACGGUACCUGCAGAAGAAGCACCGGCUAACUACGUG
rnacentral:rRNA from 1 species